rnacentral:lncRNA from 1 species
CGAGAUAUUUUUUAUGUGAGAACUCCGUUAGAGAAUUAAUAAGAUUGCAGUGAAGGGUAAAAACGGAAUAGAGAAAAUAGCAUCAUGAAUGAAUAGUGCACAUUUUGUCCUCACAUGAAACAAUGACAAGUCCUCUCUCUUAUAAGAGAGUGUAAGCCCCUCGGGCAAAGUCCCGUGGUGCAAAGGACAGGAAUGAGGUUACCUCACGUCUUGUUGGCAGCUGCAGUGUGAAGGUUCAAUUCCUGAGACAUAGAAUUGAAGUCCUGUAGACGCAGCGUACAUGCAGUUCUUGUUUCCUGGCCAGUUGGAGCACAUCCCACGAUUUACCUCCUUCACAAAGUUCUAGGAUGGGACGCUGGAGGCUCUCAAAAUUGGGGUUCAACCUUUAUAAGAGAAUGUGUGUAUAUAUACACACACAUAUAUAUACACAUGUAUUUUGACUAUGAAAAAGGAAAAAAACUUAUUGUCCAAGGUCACAUGGGCCUUGGACGAACAGGGGGCCAAAUGGUGCACCUAGACAUAUAGCAUCUCUCUAUGAAAAAUAAUACAUCAUCAACUAAACACUUUUUAAUUUAAUAAAUGAUUUAUUUGCCAAUAAAAUAACGAGCUUGCUAAAAAAAAAGGUUCAAAUAUUAAUAUAUUAUUGAGGAAGAAUCCGAGAAUUGAGACCAUAGCACAACAAUCAUUGUUGCUACAUUUUAGUUUGACAUUCCACCUACCUUCUAUUUGAUUGGUUUCUUUUCAACGUUGGCGCCGAUGGAUCAGAGAGGGAAACUUCCAUUUCUUUUCCUUCAUCCUCUCCUAUAAAACGAGGCCUAAUCUUCGACUCAUUUAUACUUAAAUCAGUGUCUGCAAUACAGCAAAGCAACGUAAAAUAUUUCUUUCCGACACCAUAAUGGUUCCCAAGAAGGCAAUUCUCUACCUACUCCUAUCUUUGUUCAUAAUAUACGAUGUCGCCUCCAUGGUGACUGCUACCGUCUCCAACGACACGAGUAAGUUAUCCUUUUGAGCAUCUCAAAAUUUGUACAUUAACGUAAACUAAUUCAGNNNNNN